rnacentral:snRNA from 1 species
GAUGUAAGGGUGAUCUGGCUGCAACAUCUGUCACCCCAUUGACCGGCAGCGUUGAUUUGGCUGAUCUGGCUGGCUAGGCAGGUGUCCCCUUCCUCCCCUCUUC